rnacentral:rRNA from 1 species
GAUGAACGCCGGCGGCGUGCUUAACACAUGCAAGUCGAGCGACGCGGUUUUAAGGAAGUUUUCGGAUGGAAUUAAGAUUGACUUAGCGGCGGACGGGUGAGUAACGCGUGGGUAACCUGCCUCAUACAGGGGGAUAACAGUUAGAAAUGACUGCUAAUACCGCAUAAGCGCACAGUGCUGCAUAGCACAGUGUGAAAAACUCCGGUGGUAUGAGAUGGACCCGCGUCUGAUUAGGUAGUUGGUGAGGUAAUGGCUCACCAAGCCGACGAUCAGUAGCCGGCCUGAGAGGGAGACCGGCCACAUUUGGACUGGGACACGGCCCAAACUCCUACGGGAGGCAGCAAUGGGGAAUAUUGGACAAUGGGGGAAACCCUGAUCCCGCGACGCCGCGUGAGUGAAGAAGUGUGUCGGCAUGUAAAGCUCUAUCAGCAGGGAAGAAAAUGACGGUACCUGACUAAGAAGCCCCGGCUAACUACGUGCCAGCCGCCGCGGUAA